GAUCCUGGCUCAGGAUGAACGCUAGCUACAGGCUUAACACAUGCAAGUCGAGGGGAAACGACAUCGAAAGCUUGCUUUUGAUGGGCGUCGACCGGCGCACGGGUGAGUAACGCGUAUCCAACCUGCCCAUCACUUGGGAAUAACCUUGCGAAAGUAAGACUAAUGACCAAUGUAUAUCCCACGGAAAGGCAUUUCCCGGAAUGGGAUUAAAGAAGUUUUACGUCGGUAGAUGGGAUGGGGAUUCGCGUUCUGAUUAGG
rnacentral:rRNA from 1 species